GUAAUGUAAUCCGAUACUUGACCGAGAAUUAGAGAAAUGAAAGGAAUCACAAAAAAUGAUUUGCGAGAGUUUUUAGAACGCUGUGCGACAAGGGUCCAAAUCUGGUGCAAAUCGAGGGUCCGGACCAUGACGAAGCUCAAGGAAACGACAAUCGCCGCGGUCGGGGAAGAAGGGGCAACGACCCCCGUGGUUUACGGGGUGCCCGUGACAGGGCUGCUGCUGCACAUCGCAACCCCGAAGAACCUACGGGUCGGGGUCGAUGACGGUGCGCAGA